UGGCAUCACUCCAGCACCAGAUUCAGCCACCAGCCUUGGAUUCAGAGGAGAAAUGUCAUAGGUGAGAAGAUUCCAGUUUAGAUGGGCAAGGCCCAUAUGUGAUCUGUCUUAUAUCACAGCACAUAGCAAGAGAGCUCUCUAUUCAGUCUUUCUCCUCUGACUGCAAGCUUUGUCCCGUCUCAAAGAACACGGAUGAACUGAGCUGUUGAGUUCUGCCGAACCCCAGAAUCCAGCAAAUACUCUCACCUACUCUGACUCAAAUAUGUUUACUGCCUCUUCUAAGGCUUGAGAGCUGUGCAACAGCAUUGGUGACAAUCAAGAUGAUGCUGCUUGUCAACACUAAGCCAAAACAGAUUAUUGUGAUGAGGGAAUCAAAUCUCUCCGAAGACAAUCAUGAAAUCUGACACCAUAGACUCCUGCAGCCUCUCUUGUUAUCAAUCAGCUGUAGGUUAAAUUCUCUCAGAGAAGAAAGUAAUCAAAGUUUAUUUCAGAAUGCAUUAAGA